rnacentral:rRNA from 1 species
UGCAAGUCGACGGUAACAGGCUCAUAGGGUGCUGACGAGUGGCGGACGGGUGAGUAAAGCGUAUGGAUCUACCUUGUUGAGGGGAAUAGCUUAGGGAAACUUAAGGUAAUACCGCAUAAGCCCCAAGGGGGAAAGCCGGGGACCGAAGAGGCCUGGCGCAAUAAGAUGAACGUACGUCGGAUUAGCUAGUUGGUAGGGUAAAGGCCUACCAAGGCGGUGAUCCGUAGCUGGUCUGAGAGGACGACCAGCCACACUGGGACUGAGACACGGCCCACACUCCUACGGGAGGCAGCAGUGGGGAAUAUUGGACAAUGGGCGAAAGCCUGAUCCAGCAAUGCCGUGUGUGUGAAGAAGGCCUGCGGGUUGUAAAGCACUUUCGUUGGAGAGAAAGACGUCAUGACUAACAAGCAUGGCAGAUAAUGUUAUCCAAAGAAGAAGCACCGGCUAACUCUGUGCCAGCAGCCGCGGUAAUACAGAGGGUGCGAGCGUUAAUCAAAAUUACUGGGCGUAAAGGGUGCGUAGGUGGUAGCAUAAGUUAGGUGUGAAAGUCCUGGGCUUAACCUGGGGAUUGCGCUUAAUACUGUGUUACUUGAGUAUUGUAGAGGAAAGUGAAAUUUCCGGUGUAGCGGUGAAAUGCGUAUAUAUCGGAAGGAACAUCAGUGGCGAAGGCGACUUUCUGGACAAAUACUGACACUGAGGCACGAAAGCAUGGGGAGCAAACAGGAUUAGAUACCCUGGUAGUCCAUGCCGUAAACGAUGAAGGCUGGCUGUUGGGAGCCUGAGGGCUUUUAGUAGCGAAGCUAACGCGUUAAGUCUUCCGCCUGAGGAGUACGACCGC